rnacentral:rRNA from 1 species
UACGUAGGUGGCAAGCGUUGUCCGGAUUUACUGGGCGUAAAGAGCACGCAGGCGGUCGGAUAAGUCGAAUGUGAAAGCCCCCGGCUCAACUGGGGAGGGUCAUUCGAUACUGUUCGACUCGAAGGCAGGAGAGGGAAGUGGAAUUCCCGGUGUAGUGGUGAAAUGCGUAGAUAUCGGGAGGAACACCAGUGGCGAAGGCGACUUCCUGGCCUGUUCUUGACGCUGAGGCGCGAAAGCUAGGGGAGCAAACGGGG